UAGUUCGUGGGCAUCUCUACGGAAG
rnacentral:misc_RNA from 1 species